AUGAACGCUGGCGGCGUGCCUAAUACAUGCAAGUCGAGCGAACGGACGAGAAGCUUGCUUUUCUGAUGUUAGCGGCGGACGGGUGAGUAACACGUGGAUAACCUACCUAUAAGACUGGGAUAACUUCGGGAAACCGGAGCUAAUACCGGAUAAUAUUUUGAACCGCAUGGUUCAAAAGUGAAAGACGGUCUUGCUGUCACUUAUAGAUGGAUCCGCGCUGCAUUAGCUAGUUGGUAAGGUAACGGCUUACCAAGGCAACGAUGCAUAGCCGACCUGAGAGGGUGAUCGGCCACACUGGAACUGAGACACGGUCCAGACUCCUACGGGAGGCAGCAGUAGGGAAUCUUCCGCAAUGGGCGAAAGCCUGACGGAGCAACGCCGCGUGAGUGAUGAAGGUCUUCGGAUCGUAAAACUCUGUUAUUAGGAAAGAACAUAUGUGUAAGUAACUGUGCACAUCUUGACGGUACCUAAUCAGAAAGCCACGGCUAACUACGUG
rnacentral:rRNA from 1 species